GGUUCAGAACGUCGUGAGACAGUUCGGUCUCUAUCUGCUGUGGGCGUUAGAAAUUUGCGUGGAUCUGACUCUAGUACGAGAGGACCGAGUUGGACUAACCUCUGGUGUAUCUGUUGUUCCGCCAGGAGCAUUGCAGAGUAGCUACGUUGGGAAGGGAUAAGCGCUGAAAGCAUAUAAGCGCGAAACCCACCACAAGAUGAGAUUUCUUUAAAGGGUCGUGGGAGAUGACCACGUUGAUAGGCUAUAGGUGUAAAGGCAGUAAUGUCAUAGCCGAGUAGUACUAAUUACCCGUAGGCUU
rnacentral:rRNA from 1 species